rnacentral:rRNA from 1 species
GACGAACGCUGGCGGCGUGCCUAAUACAUGCAAGUUGAACGCAACAAAGACACCAGAGCUUGCUCUACCGUUUUUGUUGAGUAAGCGAACGGGUGAGUAACGCGUGGGUAACCUGCCUUAUAGCGGGGGAUAACUAUUGGAAACGAUAGCUAAUACCGCAUAACAAUAGAGAUUGCAUAAAUCUUUAUUUGAAAGUGCCAACUGGUACACUAUGAGAUGGACCCGCGUUGUAUUAGCUAGUUGGUAGUGUAAUGGACUACCAAGGCGAUGAUACAUAGCUGACCUGAGAGGGUGAU